UACGGAAGGCAGCAGUGGGGAAUAUUGCACAAUGGGCGCAAGCUUGAUGCAGCCAUGCCGCGUGUAUGAAGAAGGCCUUCGGGUUGUAAAGUACUUUCAGCGGGGAGGAAGGCGAUGCGGUUAAUAACCGCGUCGAUUGACGUUACCCGCAGAAGAAGCACCGGCUAACUCCGUGCCAGCAGCCGCGGUAAUACGGAGGGUGCAAGCGUUAAUCGGAAUUACUGGGCGUAAAGCGCACGCAGGCGGUCUGUUAAGUCAGAUGUGAAAUCCCCGGGCUUAACCUGGGAACUGCAUUUUGAAACUGGCAGGCUUGAGUCUUGUAGAGGGGGUAGAAUUCCAGGUGUAGCGGUGAAAUGCGUAGAGAUCUGGAGGAAUACCGGUGGCGAAGGCGGCCCCUGGGACAAAGCUGACGCUCAGGGU
rnacentral:rRNA from 1 species